UUUUUUUUUUUUUUUUUUUUUUUUAGGGAUACUCAUUCAUUCUUUCCUGGAAGAGAUCAGAGGUAAUCUGAAGUGAGUUUAACACUUGAGUCAGAAAGCCAAAGUGAAACCUAUACUGCAUUUCUGUUCGGCUUAUGCUAAGGUGGGUGAUACUUGCCUCAGCUCUGUAUAGAAGUAAGCUUUAUGUUAUGAAAGAAACAUGAUCUUAAUAUAUUGUCAAGCAAUGGAAACUCUAAGCCUGAAUUCCUUAAAAACACCAUCUUAUACAUAUUACUGGCAUGACAUAAAAUGCCUUAUAAAAUGAGUCUUUUUUCAUUUCCCUGAUACAUCUCGAUAACCUUUAGCUACUACUGUUUAUUUCAGAGAAAGCAAGGAACUCUCUUUUGUAUUUUAGAAUAUUAAUUAUUCUUUGUAUUCUUUUCUAUUAUUAUUAUUUGUAUUUUAGUUUCCAAAUAUUUACACAACUGAGAGCUCUCAUUCCAUAUUCCUUCAAAGCAAGAUAUAGAUAAAAUCAAUAAUAUUUACUAUAUAAUUUUUCAUUUUAUGAACUUUGGCAUUAUAUUUAUUAUAUAAUUUAAUGCAAUGCAUAUGAGAGGUCUUAACCUCUGGAGACAUUUUACUAUUAAUAGGCAGAAGUGUUCUGAUGUAUAGCUAUAGCUCAGGACACUUCAGAUGACUUCUGGUCAUUGGUACUCUGAAAGAAGUCAGAGGCUUCUGGUCCCAGUGCCCAGGAAAACCUGAAGAGAGCAUUUGACUCAGAGACUGGAAAUGUUGAUACCAGCAGGAAUGGCAGAAAAAUGCCUUGUAGCACAUGCUGCGUAAAUCUUUCUUCAAGGGAAAGAUUUCCCAUAAGGGCUACCCAAAGCAGACAAAUGUACAUGUAAAAAAUUUUGAAUGUUUUAGGCCUUAAAUUUACUCAGCGAACACCCUCAGUGUCCCAACUAUUAGGCUAUCAAUUAUACUAAAUUCUGAGGGCAAGGUAAAAUUGAACAUGAAUAAAGAUGCUCAACCAUUGCAAAUUCAGUGACUUCAGAAAAAAUCAAACAGGCAUAGGACAGCACAGAAGUGGGCCUUGCUGGGGAUGAAUUGGGAAGAGGAAUCCAGAUUUUCUCCCUACUUACAUGAGAAGCAGACAUUAAUUAUCUUCUUAUGAUCUUAUGAUUGAACAUUUGAUUCAGGAACAUAUCUAGCACAUGCAUGGUCAUGAGCACAUGCAUCAUCUCAUUGUUUUUUCAAAAUUGAAACCUGAAGCUGUAGGAUUCUAAUGAGUAACACUGGAAUUAGCCACCUGGCAGAAAGUUCAUUGUUUUUAGAGCCUGGUCAGUGAUACUCAGCCCUUGUAAAAGACAGACCUGACAAACCAAUCAUUUGGGCAACAAAUCUUGCACUGUAUUCUAGUGAGGGUGUUCACACACUGACACAAGUAUGAUUUUCAUGAGCAAAAUGAUGGUAGCUCCAUAAAUCAGCGCAGAAGUCCUUAGACCACGUGGAAGGUUACUAAACUUUGUGACACUACAUUGAAUAUUGAGUAGAAGAGAUUUUGGAUGUGAUCCUCUAUUAAUAUAAACUGUCAUUACUACAUUGACUACAUCAGCUGGGAGCGUGGCUAGAUACCAAAAGCAUUCUGAAGAGCUCUUUUUGCAUGGAUGCAUUUGUUGAUCAAAAUUUAACUGUGCAAGAAUCAGAAUGUUCCAGUUUUGUGUCAUGGGUGUACUGAAGAAUUUUCCAGUGGUUAAUGCUAUGAAAUGUGCCCAUACUCACCUACAUUUCCUAUUUCAAAUGCUGGGAUCAUUCUACUGGAUUUUUUUUUUUAGGGUUAUUUUGAAGAAAUUCUAUACAGAAGAAAAAAAUCAGGAUAUAGACUUCUCUCACAAUUCUGCUCUGGAGUAUUAUGCUGAAGAGACACAGGCUUUCUCUGUUCAGUUCAGAGGAAGUUCAAUUUAUUUAGUUAGCUGUUCUCCCAGUUUACUCGAGUGUAAUGCUGCAUGUGUGAAUUUUCACACCAGACUACACUUGGAACUUC
ensembl:lncRNA